AUUGCACAUAAAACCCAAAGAUCAUUAUUGUAUUGUGUAAUGAUCUUGUCUGUUGUGCAUAUAUUAACUAAACCUUGUCGCCUUUCAAGAGCUGGAUGUGCCUGUGAAAGUGAAAUCAAAGGUUUCACAAGA